AUAAUUCCUGCUUCCUGUGGGAAAUGAAGCGGAGGAGGCUCAAGAGUGACGAGGAGAAGCUACUAGGAAGGUGUUCCCAGAGUGACUAUGGAGAGCCCAGGGGUCGCCAGGUGCACACGUGAGCUCUGGGGAUCAGGACGCCUUGGCUCAGAAAGCAGUCAUACACUUGAAAUGACUUGGGGUCCACUUGCAACGCUGAAAAGCAAGGUGGAUAAGCAGCGAGGGUCACGUAAAUCAGACACUGACACCAAGCUGCGUCGGAGCUCCACGGAAGACAGGAAGGCAGCUGUGUGCCACUGGAGUAGACAGUCACCGUGGACGCAGACAGACCCAAGUGCUACAGGAAGCUUCCUAGGUGCUGGGCAGGAGGAGCCUGGCCCUGAACAAUGGCCACCUUAACCCAGGUAAGCAGACGUCCCUCGUAUCCAAACCUCUUCUGCUUCCCGGCCUAAACAUACCCAAGCUGGACAAAAGGCAAGUCCUCACCCAAGGCCAACCUCUAGUCCAAGAAUCCCCAAUCUUUUUGUAGAAAGGAGAAAGUUAAUGCCAAAUGCUACCACUGCAACACAUAAAACGGCAGUAAUGUAGUCUCUCUUUUUCUGUGUUUCACACUGAGUCUUCAAGCACUUCCAAGAAUGUCUCGGAACACAGGCUGCGUCCCAAGGACGUAGCAGCCAGGCAGAUAAGUCCAC
rnacentral:lncRNA from 1 species